ensembl:antisense Gm15533 predicted gene 15533
CACAGUCCCAAUAUGUCAGACACAACAGUUUGGUCAAACCCCGGCUCUGGCAUUUCCAGACUUGCUGGAGGACCGCUGCCAAGCAAGGUAGCUAGCUAUUCUGCAGACAGCUCCUAGCCGGUUCCUGCCGGCUUUGCUCUACAGGCGCAGCAGGCGGCCUUUGGAUACCCCUCACCCCCUUUCUGGCUGCCUAGCCACGCCCACCCUCCUAAGCCACCUGGAGCCAAUUCUCAGAAGCUCAAAAUGAAAGUUCAGCAGUCCCACCCUGCCUUCACCGGGUCCCGCACCUUGAGGCGUGCGUGGGCUUCAGCGGCAGGCAGGAGACGAUGACCACGGUGAGAACCGAGCGAGGCACACACACCACACACAAGUGUGCGGUCCUGCUCGCAGUAGAUGCUCAGUGGAUCCAGGUGUUCCUCGCAGUGGCCUUGGGGCACUUGCGCCAAACCCUCCACAAGGCGUGACAACUGGAGGUUAGUGCUUAGAGCCUGCGGCCGUGUAGGUGCCUGACAACAGGGACAGGCAACUGUGCCGUCCGCAGCAGGCUCCCCUGCCACCCGGAUCAGGCAGGCACGGCAGAAACUGUGGCCACACUCAGCCGUCACUGGUGCAUCGAACAGCUGCAAGCACAGUGGGCAGGACAGUUCCUGACGCAGAAGGCCGGGUGCAGCCGACAUGGUGAGCCUGGGAAGAGGAGUCCCAUUACAAGAAUUCCAGCUCAAUCCUACACUGGGUCUGUGGCCCCGCAGCCAGAGCCCCAUCCUGUAACUAUCUCACAUCCCACACUGGAAGAGAAUCUGGUUUUGACCAUCUGGUAAAGAGGAUGUGGUGUCGUCCCAGAGUGGGCACGUAUAUCGCCAUUCUCAGCCCAGAUAAAAACAAAUGUGACCCAACUAGGCAUUUAUCAGCCCCGGUUACCCACUCCACAAACUCCUUGCUACUGAUUUAGCCCAGGCUUCAGUCUGUGACCUAGGUCUGGACCUUCACUCUUCUGGAAUUUACUAGAAUCCCCUCUCCAAUUGACCUCCCACUGACCUCUCUCAAAUAUCCAGCCCUCUCCUCCCCCAUAUCUCAAGGCCCACAGGACUCACAAGUCUGGUGGGAGAACUUAGGCCAAAAAAGACUCCCGGGAGGACCAGUCAGGUUCAGGUCUAACAGCAGGGUGAUCGGAGUUGUGUCCAGAGACAAGCAAGAAGCAAGCAGCAGGCUCAAUGCAAGGGCAGGGAUUCAGGGCCAGAUGGCAGUGGGUGGACACAACAGGUGAUAGGCAUAUAGUGGACACCCUCCCAGAUAGUUCAGUGGCCCAAGAACUAUAUUUAGCUGUCCUACCCACUCCCUCCCACAGCUUUCGGGAAACUGUUCUAAAUGUGGAGUGUGAGCAGUCAGUAGGCAGACAUCCUGGCCUGGCCUAGUCCUUUCCUCAGGCCAGGCUAGAGCUUAGAAUCAGUGGGCAAGCAUGGCUGCCCCUCUCCCUACAGCACUUCCACUCUGGCUUCCUUCCUCCUUGACAUUGUUGGUUAACCUAUUCAUUUCCCAACCACUUACGCUAAUGGUGCUAACUCCACCUGUGGGAAGGCAGGUGAGGGUAUUUUCCCCCUAUUUUCUAGCAUAGGCCCUGAAACAAUGCACCCCGUCCCCCAAAUGCUUGGAGAAUGAAUGGUAAGUAGUUAAAUGAAUGAACUGAAACCAGAGUCUACAGCUCAGAACUGGAGCUUGCCCCGCUGGAAGCACCAGGCUUUCUUAAUAGCUUAUCUUUCGAUGGUUAAUAUAAAAUUUAAUCAGAAUAAAAAUCAAAGUCUUCCUUAUGACCUACAAUUUAUUCCCAUCUGGCCCCAUUCACUGCCCUGACCUGUACCUCACCCUUCCCCCCCGCCCUGGCCCCUCGAGGACUUUGUCCUUGCCACCCCUCUAUCUAGAACGUUCUUGCAGUCUCAGAUAUUGCAUAGCUCUUUUCCUUUUCUCCUCAGACCUCUUCUCAACGCCAGGCUUCCAGUGAUGGUUCUUCAAACUCCUACAUCUUCUCCUUAAAUCCUGAAUGUCCCGGUGCUGCUCUCAGUAACAAGACAGAUACACAAGAUCCCCUCACUUCUUCACGUCUUAAGUACCAAGCUAGAGUAGAGAGAUGGCUCAAUGGUUAAGAGCACUGUCUGCUCCUCCAGAGGACCUGAGGUUUGUUCCCACAUAGUCGCUCACAACCAUCGAUAACUCCAGUUCCAGGCAACCUGAUAUCCUCUUCUGGCCUCUGUGGAUACUAGGCAUACAUGUGGUACAUAAACCAUAUACCCAUACACAUUAAAUAACUUUAAACCAUUUUUAAAAAACAAUUAAAGCAAGAGGCUGGAGUGGAGUGGCUUAUGCUUAAGAAGCUGAGGCAAGAGGAUCAACUUUGAUCUUGGCUGCAUGAGAACCUGAGAAGUAGGGAGAUUGUGUGUGUGUAUAUAUAUAUAUAUAUAUAAGAGAGAGUGCUGUUGGAAGAGGAUGCACACUCUUAAUCCCAGCACUUAGGAGGCAGAAGCAGGCAGGUCUCUGAGUUCAAGGCCAGCCUGGUCUAUAAUCUAUAGAGUGAAUUUCAGGACAGCCAGAGCUCUACAGAAAAACCUCUGUCCUGAAAAACAAAACAAAGCAAACUCGCGCGCGCACGCGUGUGUGUGAGUGUGUGUGUGUGUGUGUGUGUGUGUGUGUGUGUGUGUGUGUGUAAAGCCAGCUCUGGGAGUCACCUGUAAUACUGCAGGCAGGAAGGCUACAAGCUCCUGGACAUCAGGAUGCUGUGUAUAAGUAAACAAUUGAAGUAAAGCAAGGUUAUUUGGGUAUUUGGGGAGUUUUGUUUUUUAGUUUUCCGUUUUGGUUCCUUUUAGUUGUUGUUGUGUUUUGUUUAGCUCUUUGAGAAAAUGAGUCACACAGCCUAAGCUAGCCUCUGACUCACUAUAUACAAGAAACUUGCUUUGAACUCCUGAUCCUCCUGCCUCCACUACCUAAGUGCUAGGAUCACAUGUAUGCAAUACCAUGCCCAGACUUAAAGCAAGUAUGUUCCUCUUAUGGAUACACAGGAAGGAAAUUGCUCAUCCCUGUGACAUACAAUAGUGCUCUGCUGGAGAGAUGGCUCAAAAGUUAGGAGUACUUGUUGCUCUUGAAGUGGAGCCAAGUUUGGUUCCCAGCACCCACAUGGUGGCUCCAUCAUCCCUGACUGAAAUUUCAUGUAGUCCAACACACUUUUCUGACCUCGUAAGGCAGGCAUACACAUGAGAUACAUUCAUAGACUCAAUCGAGAAAUCUAUACACAUAAACUAGAAUAAACAAAUCU